AGUGGCGGACGGGUGAGUAUCGCGUGAGAAUCUGCCCAUAGGAUAGGGACAACAGUUGGAAACGACUGCUAAUACCUGAUGUGCCGAGAGGUGAAACUUUUUUGGCCUGUGGAUGAGCUCGCGUCUGAUUAGCUAGUUGGUGGGGUAAGAGCCUACCAAGGCGACGAUCAGUAGCUGGUCUGAGAGGAUGAUCAGCCACACUGGAACUGAGACACGGUCCAGACUCCUACGGGAGGCAGCAGUGGGGAAUUUUCCGCAAUGGGCGAAAGCCUGACGGAGCAAGACCGCGUGGGGGAUGAAGGUUUGUGGAUUGUAAACCCCUUUUGAUUGGGAAGAAUAACUGACGGUACCAAUCAAAUAAGCCUCGGCUAACUCCGUGCCAGCAGCCGCGGUAAUACGGAGGAGGCAAGCGUUAUCCGGAAUUAUUGGGCGUAAAGCGUCCGUAGGUGGUUUAGUAAGUCUGCUGUUAAAGCGCGGGGCUUAACUCCGUAUCGGCGGUGGAAACUACUAGACUAGAGUGUGGUAGGGGUAGAGGGAAUUCCCAGUGUAGCGGUGAAAUGCGUAGAUAUUGGGAAGAACACCGGUGGCGAAAGCGCUCUACUGGGCCAUAACUGACACUGAUGGACGAAAGCUAGGGGAGCGAAAGGGAUUAGAUACCCCUGUAGUCCUAGCCGUAAACGAUGGAGACUAGGUGUUG
rnacentral:rRNA from 1 species